AACAGUUGUAAUAUUGAACAUCAUAUUUUCUCUCAAGAAGAGAGUAGACCACCAAACAUUUGAAGAUCACAAGUGAAAGGUUCCACUUGUGUUGUGAAACGGAUAGAAACGAGAGUACUUGAGAGAACCGCGUUCCUCUUGUGUUCCCGUAAGAACUUGGUACUUGUUAACUUGUUUUGUAAAGGUUUUAGAGUUUGGUACACUCUUUAGUUUCUACCUAAUAAUUUCUCUUUGUGUUAAGUUAUCUAUCUCCUUAUUUCUCAGGUUAGUGUAUUUGUUGUUCUCGUUUGAUGUCUUGUACGUGUGGACUGUUUUUCUGAGUUUGUGGACUUUUUUGUGAUCUUGUAGAUACCAUUUGGUAUAAAAUCUAAGGCUGGUUGUGUUCCUACACUACCAAUCUUGGGCUCUCUAAGUCGAAAAAAAAGAGGUGUUGAAAAGAUGAAAAUUUCAAAAAGAAGCAAAUCUGUCUAUUCUUGUUGUCUUGGCCAAAAUUGUGUCUUGUUGUUUUUUUGGCCGAGAUUUGUGUAUAGUUUUAUUGUGACUUUUGCAUGUUUUGUGUGUUAUAGUGUUAGAUCUUUAUUUCCUAAUCAUAGAAGAGGUGUCCAAGAUCAAAAAUCUUACAAAAAGAAGUUAUUCUACGGGUUGGGUGUCUUGGCCGAAGUGUUGUUGUUGUUUGGCCGAAUUUGUGUCUAGAUUAGGUGUUAUUUUACUUGUCUUAGUAGUUUCGUGUGUUAGCUUGUUGAUUCCCUAGAACACUUGAGUCUAAAGUCCAAGAUUUGAACCUUGUUAAGUUGUUGUUGAAAGGUUGGACGAUUUAGAUAUUGUUAUUAUUCAAAGUGUUCUUAUUGUUGUUCUUGAGUAAUAUUCAACAAAAGGCCUUGUUUGAUUUGAAAAAAGGAAGAGAGAGGUAAGGAUUGUGUUGUCUUGGGAAUACUUUCAAGACAACACUAAAGUGGAAAAGAAACAAAUACCUACCAAAAUCUUGCCUACCAAAAGAGUGUCAAAACAUCUUUCAAGAAAGGCCAAAAGAGGAAAGGGAAAAGACAAGGCAAAAGGGUGUUUUGCCAUUUUAGUGCAAGUUGGUGAAAAAAUGAUGUGCACCUUUUGACCUUUGGGAAAAGAGUUCAGAGUCUUUUUUUCUCAUUCCAAAACCAAAAAUCAUCACCAAAAUAACUAGAUUUAACAACUUAAAUUGAAAAACAUCAACUUUCAAGCAAAAACAACAACACCAACGGCCAAAAAAAAAAUUAAAAAAAUAAAAAGUGUGGACUACAUCAACAACAAAACUCAAGUCAUAGGAACUUCUAAGUUUCUUUCCUUGUCUCUACUAGUUUCUUUCUAUUUGUCUCCUAUACUAGUUGACAACUAAGUAACAACCUACUAAGUUGUGAACUAGUUUUUGAGUACGUCUUUCGUGUCAACAUUCUUUGUGGUGAUUUGAUCAUUUACAAUUCGUAGUUGUUCUUGGCUCAACUGUGUACAAAACUUCCUUGAGUCUUUAAAACCGAAAUCCAUUCUAACUCAAGAGUAUACUCGUUCCUAAGCACUCAAGGAUUGAUACCCGGCUUACAACACUUGAAGAACCAAGUGAGGAAGCCGAGUGUGAAGAAUGUGUAAGCAUAUUUUGAACUAACGUUCUCUUGUUUUAUAGGUACAAUUGCAAAUGGAACUCAAAAAUUCCAAUGCUCCAACCGUGGACAAUAAUGUUAUAAAUGUCCUCUUAGCUAGUCUUGAAACUUUGUCUCGAGGCGUGGCUAAGAUGAAGGCAAAUGUUCAGAAAUUGGGUUCAGAUGUGGCCUUAAUGAGUGAGAGGUUGGAGAGGAUGGAAAGCCAAAGGAUUUCUCGACCUCAUACCCCUCAAACCACCUCACCUACUAUUACUCCCGAAACCUUGCACCAAAUAUUGUAUCCACCAAGUGCUACAAACCAAGUCAAUCUUUAGUCCCAAAGCCGAGAACAAGAUAGACCUAGCCAUUCUUCACUCCACCAAGUUCCACAAGGAGGACUUGGAACCAAAAUUCUAUCCCUAAACCCGAAUCCUCCACUCCAAAAUCCUCCAAUUCAAAGACCCUACACUCUACUAAAUCCAAUGUCUCCUUCCCAAGCUACACUAACCUAGAAAUACCCCAUCUAAGUAGAAAAAGAGGGAGAGUUAGGAUCCAAGGAGAAUGAGUUCAAGCCUCAAGAUGGAGAGAAACUUAGUGGUCAGGUACAAGAAGAAUGUGAAGAAAAGAGGGCAAGGGAAAGAAAAACCGCGGGCAGUGAAGUAGGAAAGAAAAAGAAAAAUGUGCUUAUGGGAUUUGCCCACAAAGGAUAUUUGAUGCUCACUAACCCACAUUCUAUCACUUUUCCUAGCAUUGAUCCUUCUUAUGUAUAGGUUCAAGUUCAUAUGCUAUCAAAUAAUGAUCAAAAAGGGGUUCCACAUGAUAACAUGGGAAAUGAGCUAGUGACAUCCUUGGCCGAGAGAUCCAAACAAGUGGAAUAUUAUGGCAUACACCGAGUGGAAGGAAGUUUGGUGGAUGGUUUUCUUGCUUGCAUGAUGGUGAUAUGUGGUUGAGGUGGAUCUUAAGAUCAAUAGUGGCACUAUAUUUGAUGAGGUCCUUUGUAAAGGUGCGAAUUUAAGAACAAAUUCCUUUGAAUGUGGAGAGGAUGCUACAAGCAUGAGGAGCACAAGGAUCACAAGUUUUUGUUAAAGGUCAAAUUUCAGAUUUGCAAAGUGAAUUGAAGACCUUUUUCAAAUCCUUGUCCAAGCUCGGGAACUACAAAGACUACAAGGCACGUUUAUGAAAAUAAAUGCGUUUGAGCUUGUUGUGAACGUGCCCAAGGGAGUGUACGCCUUGACAUACGAGGUCUGGCCUUAGGUGCUGAAAAAUACACCCAAGGCUUCCCCAAAUACACUCCACACCCGCCAACCUCAUUAAGGGCAAAGGAGUCCUUUCCCAAUAUCUUUUGUAAUAGACUAUUUAAACAUUUUCGUUAGCCUUGUUCUUUAGGUAGUUCAUUCUUGAAAACACUUGUAAUAUUGAACAUCAUAUUUCCUCUCAAGAAGAGAGUAGACCACCAAACAUUUUAAGAUCACAAGUGAAAGGUUCCACUUGUGUUGUGAAAUGGCUAGAAACGAGAGUGCUUGAGAGAACCGCGUUCCUCUUGU